GAGUACUGGCCAACUCAAAAAUCCUGAAGCCACAAAGUAACGCUGGGAUACAUGUGAAAACAUUGCUGUGGAAGGGGAGGUCUGCCAUUCACCUAACCACUUCUUUGGUAAUCUGUGACCUUGGGCAGAAGUCCCAUUUUGAAGACAGACAUAUGCCCAGCUGUAAGACUACAAUUCCCAGUCUACCUUGCAGAUAAGCUAUUGAAUGUGACAUGACCUGGAGAAGAAGCCGUAUGUUAGGCUUUGGAUCAUACAGAAGGAAGGAGCCUGAGUUACUGGGGAUCACAGUGGCUUGAUGAAUGAGUUUGUUGACGCCACUGAUUCUUCACCCAAGUGUCUGAUGGGUGGUCUUUCAUUUCAAAAGAUUCAUGCUGCCCUGUGCCUGUAUGUUAUGAUGUUUGGAAACAGUGGACUUGUAAUUGCUCAGAUAUUGCUGCCAGCUCAGUGGAGAUGAUUGAGAAUGGAUGGCUUUGGUCAUCAGAUCAUUGUGGAAAGUACUGAACCCUGGAUGCCAUGUAAUUCAUUUUUAAUUCAAGACUGAAUAAAUACACUGCAUUUUUGAA